GAUUAACGCUAGCGGCAGGCAUAAUACAUGCAAGUUGAACGGGAUUAGUUUAGCAAUAGACUAUGAGAGUGGCGCACGGGUGCGUAACACGUAUGCAACCUGCCCUUGACUGGAGAAUAGCCUCUCGAAAGAGAGAUUAAUGUUCCAUAACAUAAUGAUAGAGCACUCUAUUAUUAUCAAAGCUCCGGCGGUCAAGGAUGGGUAUGCGGUUGCUUAGCGAGUUGGUGAGGUAACGGCUCACCAAGGCGACAAUCAAUAGGGGGUCUGAGAGGAGGACCCCCCACACAGGUACUGAGACACGGACCAAACUCCUACGGGAGGCAGCAGUAGGGAAUAUUGGUCAAUGGAGGCAACUCUGAACCAGCCAUGCCGCGUGCAGGAAGACUGCCCUAUGGGUUGUAAACUGCUCUUGUACGGGAAGAAACCUUCGAAUGCGUUCGAAGUUGACGGUACCGUGAGAAUAAGGAUCGGCUAACUUCGUGCCAGCAGCCGCCGUAAAAC
rnacentral:rRNA from 1 species